rnacentral:lncRNA from 1 species
AAGGAUCGGACUCCCGCGUAUAUGCGGGACGAUGGAGGUGUUUUUAGCGUCCGCGCAUUUUUAGGGAAGGAUUGGGGAGCGGUUGGAUAUAAGUUUUUUCUAUUUUUCCCCUAAAUAAGGUUUUAGGGCAAUUUAGGGGGAGCUGCUGGAGCUGCUCUUGGAGCAACUCCAAAAGGCUGCUAAUCUUUACCCCAUACCUUCUUUAGGGAAAAAAGGAAAAAAAACUUCAAGAAUCCCCCUAAAACUUUUCUAAAAGAUCGGCGAUGCGAAAAACACCCUGGCCGCGGAUAUUUUCGAGCACUUCCCAAUCCGUC